UACGUAGGGAGCAAGCGUUGUCCGGAUUUAUUGGGCGUAAAGAGCUCGUAGGCGGCUUAGCAAGUCAGGUGUGAAACCUCCAGGCUUAACCUGGAGACGCCACUUGAUACUGCUAUGGCUUGAGUUUGGUAGGGGAAGACGGAAUUCCUGGUGUAGCGGUGAAAUGCGCAGAUAUCAGAGAGGAACACCGAUGGCGAAGGCAGUCUUCUGGGCCAAAACUGACGCUGAGGAGCGAAAGCGUGGGGAGCGAACAGG
rnacentral:rRNA from 1 species